rnacentral:rRNA from 1 species
AUGCACAGGGCGAUGGGAGGACCAAGAGUUCACGCCUGGGCGUUGUUCCCCGGGGCACCUCUACGACAUGGUUGCCAGAACUCUCGAGAGCUAGGGGGUACAUUUCAUUCAUCUAAUUACUGGUGUGGGUCUGUCUACAUGCAUUGCGACAACAAUGUCCUCGUGAUCCUACGCCCCUCGAAAGGGACUUAUGAUAUGGUCCAGCUUCCCGAGGAACCUUGCGGUGCAAGAAGCGGGCUCUCGCUGCCCAAAGAUUCCGUCAUAGCAAGCUAUGAGAGAGGGGUACAUUAUGUGGCGACUAACAAUUCGCAGCUUCGAGUUUGGAUGCUAAACGAAUUGACCGGUGGACAGCUAGGUUGGACACUGUCGCACGACACCAACCUCAACCUGCAUGGCGAUAUGAUUCGCACUCUUAAAAUACAACCAAAGGUGACAUGGAGGAUUGUUGGAAGCAGAGGUGGUCCAGUCAGCUUGACCGACGAAGACGCUGAUGAUGACUGGGCCAGAUCAUAUGACUCUGAACAUUCCUGA